UCUGAGGGCUGAUGCUCUAUCCACUUAGCCAAACCUCUAGGACAAGCCAUUUGUAUUUUAAGAGGAUUUUGCAUCUCUGCCCCAUUGGCUUCUUGCUGGCGCAUAUGAUUUGCUCUAGCCAAUGGAAUGUGAGAAGAAGUGAAGUGUGUCACUUCGGAGCAGGAGCCUAGAAGUUUCAGGAGCCAGAAUGUGGACGCCAAUCUCAUUCUGCAAUGAUCCUGGCAGUCUCAUGGGACUUUUCUUUCAACCUGGAUCCUAAAGUGAAGACAUGGAGUCUGGGAUGCAGCCAGUCCACAAUGCAAAAAUCAACCUUUGCUUUUAUAAGCCACUGAGAUUUGGUAGCACAGCAUAUUGUAGCCCAGGUGACUGAUCGAAAUGGGCCUAGUGUAUGUCAUCCAGUUAUAGCUUUGAUUCUUCAUCAAGCACUAUUAGGCUCUAGGGAUGCAAAGAUGAGUAAGACCCAGUUUUUACCCCUUACUUCCUCAGUCUCCUGGAGGGGAUGGACAUAUGAUUACAUAACUCUACACAUACCCGUUAGUUAUUCACUGACUUAUGCCUGAGGACACAGAGGGGGUCGCUCUUGGCUGACCAGGUAAAGACCAAAGAAGAGCUAAUUGAGCUUAGUGAUGCAGGAAAGGGAACCCAAGAGGAGGAAAAGGUAUGUGUGUUGGGUGAGGCAGGCCUGGGAAUUGAAGAUAAGAUUGAGUUGUAUUGGGAAGUUGUGUGGACCUGGUCUUAACUGCUCCCUGGUCUUAACUGAGCCCAGUCUCUAUGCCAGAAAGUGAUUCAUCAGGUUCACACGAUAACAUUGUAAUUGUACUAGAGUCUGGACUAGGAUGUGGAAGUUCAACAAAAGGGAAUGGUUGGAACAGGAGUGAAAAAGAGUCAAAUGUUUCCAGGGGAGAAGUCAGGAACCUAAAUGACUGAAAUGGAGGCAAGUGUGAGGCAGUAGGGAGGGGCAAGGGCUAUGAAGAACUAUUUCUAACCUGGGAGUCACUGCUCAACUCUGGGUGAUUGUUAGCACCUCAGGAAUGAUGCCCAGUCAUUCAAUUUGUGAACAGAAACCAGAUAUGUUUUCUUGGUGAAAUCUUCUGUUUAAAUGUUUGCAAUUUAAAUUUUGAUAAAAUGGAACAGGCCAAACAGCAUAUCCAUUUGGGGACUUCUGCAUUAGAGACAUAGGAGGUAGGGAUGAGGGUUUUUGUGGCUAGAUAGGUAGCUAUGAAGUAAAGAGGUAGGCGUUGUAAGGGCAAAGAGUCUGAAGGGGAUAAUUUUUUAGCUUUGACAACAACAGUGACAAAAUGCAUAGUUAUAUUCUCUGCUUUAUCAGAGAAUACCACCUAUUCAAAGAAAUCACCUGAGUUUUUUACUCCAGAGUUCAACUGAGUGGGGGUUUUCCCAUAUUUAUUUCAGCCAGUUAGUACAUAAACAUCCAAUACUAAAUAAAAACCAUACCUGUACCUGGAGAAACUUAUGUAAACUAUAUGUGUACGUGCACGAGGUUUAAAGAAAACUUA